GAGAGUUAUACCUACGAGUUCAUAAUCGAACUUUGUAGAGAGUGUUUAACUAGCUUCGCAAGGCUAGCUUUUUAUUGGAAUCAAUGAAUAAGUCUAACGAGACUUGUCUUUACUCAUAUCCAUGUCGAGAUAUCCUUGAGACCACUUUGCUAAGUCAAGUGUCAUGUCUCCACUUCGAUGCUAGCCAAUGGAGGGAGACGAUAUGAUUUGAGAGGGACCACAACUCGAUUUGGUAUUCGGCGGCACAAGGCAAUCCAAUGGUAUGAAAUGAGGUAGACGACAGUGAUAACGCUGUUAUUGAACAAUAUGUGAGAAGAAGUCAAAUAUAUCAAGGUUGACAAGAUAUUUAAUGAUGUGUGAGACAAGAGCAAGUAGGUCAUGGAAGACUGAUAUUUGACUAGAAAGUCUUAACUGGAGGUUAGACAAGGUAAAUACCUAACUCGAGAGUUAGGUAAGGACAAAGUCCUAACUAGAAGUUAGGCAAGGUAAAGUCCUAAUUCUAGGGUUAGGCAAAGAAAAGUCCUAACUGUGACAAAGGAAAGACAAAGUGAGUCAAGGAGGACCGUACGUUGGCAAUAGGAAGGUCCUAACUAUAGUUAGGCAAGAGGAAAUCCAAGUACAUCAAGAAGAACCACUCUUGGUGAUUGGAAGUCUAACAAGAAGUUGACACAAGAUGAAAAUUCCAAUUGGAUCAAAGGUUGACCGAACACUUGGUGAGAAAAUCCCAACAGAUCAUGGUUGACCGGAUGUUGGGCAAGGGAACCCUAAACAUGCAAGUUAGGGUUGAGCAAUUGAUUAGGGCAAUCAAUUGACCCUAAGCUAAUCGAUUGGAGCAAUCGAUUAAGCUCUUCUCAAUUGAUCAGCGGAUCAAUUGGGAGCGGUUUGUCGUGAGAGAGGAGAAGGCUUAAAUCAAUUGGGGCAAUCAAUUAAAUCUUCACCAAUCGAUUGGUCAAUCAGUUGGGGACCUAAAUCGCGAGCACAAAGAAGUGCUGAAUCGAUUGGCCAAUCGAUUCAACUCUUUCCAAUCUAUUGGGUCAAUCGAUUGGGGAGUUGUUUUAUUGCAAGAAGUUUAAUCAAUAAGGUAAUCGAUCGAGAGGAAUUCGCAAGCAAACAAUGGGCUUUUGAAUCUAUUGGGUAAUCAAUUGGAGCUGUGUAAUUGAUUGGGAGCAUUUCUUUGUGAUGAACAAUAGGUUUCUGAAUCGAUUGAGUGAUCAAUUGAAGCCACAUAAUCGAUUAGGUAAUCGAUUGGGAUAAGAAGAAAAGAAUCAUUGCAAGGUUUGGAUGGCUGAAUUUGCUCAGAUCUAUCGUCGCAAUCGAUUGAGGGUAAGGUCAAUCUGUUAAAUAAAAAAAAUAAAAAACUAAAAAAUAAAAAAAAAUAAAAAUAAUAAAAGACACCAUACCUACCCAUGUGCACUUCCCCAUACCUCCUCCUUUUCUCCCUUUCUUUUCUCCUCUUUCCCCCACGGUUACUCCUCUUCUUCUCCUCUCCUUUAACGACAGAACAAGAGAAAUCGCAGCAGCCCACUCUUCUUCUCUAGCACAAGUCCUUCUCCUUUCUCUUCACUAACAAGCAAGAGGAAGACGAGUAACGACCCCUCCCUUCCCUCUCUUUCUCUUCUCCCUUGUUUUUCUGCUUCUAGGCAGUAGCCAUUGGAGCCCAUUGAAGCUCGCCGAAGCCUCUAGCAGAGAAGGGAAAUGCAACCUAGUUGCUACUCCCUCCCAACAACAAGUGCAAGCAACCCUGUCCCCUAUCCUUGCUCUCUUAGUGUUGUGAUUGAGCUCACCAGAGCUAAUUGAGGUUGUCUAACAGAGGAGUAGUAGUUUUUUUUCGAGAAACCUAUUUUCCUCUUGUCCAACUACCACAACAAAGCUAACAACUACUAAUAGCAGCCCUUUCGGUGCCACUAACAGCGACCUCCAUUCCUUGAAGAUUUGAGUUCGGGUGGAGCACGGUGACUUGUCGACACUCGAAGUUUUUGCUGUACAUAAAGUGGGUACAUUUCCAUUGACUCAUAUAUUUAUCCUUGUGCAUGAAUAAAGACAUAAUGAAAUUAUAUAUAUUUAUAUAAAUAUUUUCAAAAGGGGAUUAAAAUAAUAUUACAAAUAGUGAAAUGGGUUAAAAUAUUAAAAUUGUUAGAGGGUAAAUAAUUGAUGUUACUUUCUAUUCAUAUAUGGGUUCAUACUGUGAUUAAUAUGGGAAGAGUUGUUUUAAAAAAUUAAAUAAAAAUCCUAAUUACUCUUCUGUUGAUACUUAUCUUUUUGACUUGCUUAACAUUUUAUACUCUAUGCUUUUGAUGUUCUACCUAUUGAUACUUGUAGUUUUUAUUUGUGAACCCUAGGAUGAUAAAUUAACAGAUCGACUUGAUACAAAGAUGUUAACUUGAUUGACCAUUGGAUAUAAAAAUAGAAUAAUUAUGAUAAAUGAAUAAAAUCAAAUCCUUAAAGUGAAAUAAUAAAGAUGGUAAAUAAAGAAUUAAAAAGUGAAGACUAUGAGCUUAGCUUUGUACCAGAGCUUUAUAUUGGAGUACUGGACCACCCACAUAUUAUUAUGGUAGUGCGGUGGUCGUGAUCCAAAGUACCUGACUAUACACCCGAGGCGUAAUGACGUGAUGUAGCUAGAGCGUCAAUUUGGGUUGGGCUCGUCGGGUUGGCCCGUCUCGCCAAAUAAUUUAAGCGAGUUGGGUUGGAAUUUUAUCAACCCAAGCCCAUUGCAAACCGACCCACCUAGGCCCGCGACCCGUGCAGGUCGGCCCGCGACGGGCUUGGGUUGGCCCGCGGGUUGAGAACUUGUGGAACUAUCAAAUUUUGUGUGUUUGGAAUGAGAACCUUUGUUGAUAUCCAAUCCUUGAAGCCUUCAAAGGGGAUCUUGCUGUAGUUCGUUGGGAUGGUCUUUGAGUUGUUGAAGCAUUUGUUGGUUUGCAACAUCAGGCUGUGGUUGGUCGAACAAAGGUGAUCUUAAUUGGAUAGCUUGGAGAUGGACCAACUAUUGUUGGGAAAGCAUGAAGAAUGAUCAGUUAAAAGGUACAUUAUGUAGUUCAAUGUUGUAUGCUUCGUCGAGUUUCAAAAUUUCACCUGUUAUAGCCUUCAGUCUUUGAAUAUCUUGCUUUAACGUCUCAUUCAGUGCUAGAAGGACAUGAACGAAACAUUCAAAUGUGUUGUAUGUAUAAAUUAUAAAAAAAACUUGAAGUUUCAUCUUUGUAAAAAUCUCAUAUCAUAUCCACUUCAACUUGUAAAAAUAAAAACAUCCAUGUUCUUUGAGAAACGAUAACUCUGAUCACAAGGUUGAGGGUCUCGAAUUUCGAUUCAU